rnacentral:rRNA from 1 species
GAUGAACGCUGGCGGCGUGCCUAAUACAUGCAAGUCGAGCGAACAGACGAGGAGCUUGCUCCUCUGACGUUAGCGGCGGACGGGUGAGUAACACGUGGAUAACCUACCUAUCAGACUGGGAUAACUUCGGGAAACCGGAGCUAAUACCGGAUAAUAUAUUGAACCGCAUGGUUCAAUAGUGAAAGACGGUUUUGCUGUCACUUAUAGAUGGAUCCGCGCCGCAUUAGCUAGUUGGUAAGGUAACGGCUUACCAAGGCAACGAUGCGUAGCCGACCUGCGAGAGUGAUCGGCCACACUGGAACUGAGACACGGUCCAGGCUCCUGCGGGAGGCAGCAGUAGGGAAUCUUCCGCAAUGGGCGAAAGCUUGACGGAGCAACGCCGCGUGAGUGAUGAAGGUCUUCGGAUCGUAAAACUCUGUUAUUAGGGAAGAACAAAUGUGUAAGUAACUAUGCACGUCUUGACGGUACCUAAUCAGAAAGCCACGGCUAACUACGUG